rnacentral:misc_RNA from 1 species
GAUGAUGAACGUAGCGAAAUGCGAUAAGUAAUGUGAAUUGCAGAAUUCAGUGAAUCAUCGAAUCUUUGAACGCACAUUGCGCCCGCCAGUAUUCUGGCGGGCAUGCCUGUUCGAGCGUCAUUUCAACCAUCAAGCCCCCGGCUUGUGUUGGGGACCUGCGGCUGCCGCAGGCCCUGAAAACCAGUGGCGGGCUCGCUGUCACACCGAGCGUAGUAGAUUUUCAUCUCGCUCAGGGCGUGCUGCGGGUUCCGGCCGUAAAAAGCCUUAUUUACCCAAGGUUGACCUCGGAUCAGGUAGGAAGACCCGCUGAACUUAAGCAUAUCAAUAAGCGGAGGA